rnacentral:rRNA from 1 species
ACGUAGGGUCCGAGCGUUGUCCGGAAUUAUUGGGCGUAAAGAGCUCGUAGGCGGUAUGUCGCGUCUGCUGUGAAAGACCGGGGCUUAACUUCGGUUUUGCAGUGGAUACGGGCAUGCUGGAGGUAGGUAGGGGAGACUGGAAUUCCUGGUGUAGCGGUGAAAUGCGCAGAUAUCAGGAGGAACACCGGUGGCGAAGGCGGGUCUCUGGGCCUUACCUGACGCUGAGGAGCGAAAGCAUGGGUAGCCAACAGGA